rnacentral:tRNA from 2 species
GACUCCGUAGCUCAGUUGGUAGAGCAAUUGACUCUUAAUCAAUGGGUCGAGAGUUCGAGCCUCUCCGGGGUCACAA